UAAUCUUCUACAUUAGUUUUAUAAAGUCUUUUAAAAGCUGCAAUGAGCCAAUCCACCUGACUUCUUAGAACAGUCCCGGAGGAGCAAAAGUGCAUGUGUUCUUCCAUGCUUUAGUGAAGAGGACAAAAAUGUGCGAAGGUAAAUGGUAAACAGGGCUCUUAGUCAGUUGAGAGUCCUCAGGGCACAGACUGAAAAGGAACAAAAUCAUCCCACAAGGAAAGAGUAAGGAACAGGGCAGCCCCAGGCAGCAGGGUAAACCGGUGACCAUCAGUCAAGCAGGGAAACUUUCAACAGGUCUCCAAGCCAGGAGCAUUUUUGAAUCACAGUAGAAGGAGCUUUUCUUGGAAAGCAUACCUUAAGAAGUUUAGAAAAUGAAGAACCAUGACAGUUCAAGCUGCAAGCGAAAGCAGAGAAUCAGUAACAGAACAAAGUCCCGUCAAAUGGCUUCCAAGAAUGAGGUCAUGUCAAAGAGCUCAAAACAAAUAGAAACUUUUCGGAUGUAACAAGAGUCACUUGGUCUGCAGACACAGAGGGGAGCCUCUCUCCUCAGGGUUUGUUAUAUUUACCUACUGAGGAUGUGGAUUUUUGCUGAGAAACACUUUUCGGUCUCUGCCCCUCUGCCUGUCUCCGUCUGCCCUCUGAGUGCUGGGUUUCAACCUCUGUCCCAGGGCACCCAGGCCUAUCCUUGUGGCUUCUCAGCUGUCAGUGCAAUAGAAACAUCCCAGGAACUGUACCUUUCGGUUAGAGUGAUUCUUACAGUGCAGAGCAAAGAGAGCCAGAAGGAUUUGGUACUUUGCCAUGGUCCUCUGUGGAUAGUUAUACCAUUUCCUCUUUUUACCAAGAAAUAGAAGUUGCCGUGCCACUUACUGGAACGGUACCCUCAUCCUCUCUCCUUUUCGCCUCCCUCUCAUCCUCUUUCUUUCCUCCUUCUCCCUUUCCCACCUUUUCUCCCUUUCCCAUCCUCCCCUUCCCUGCUCCAUUUGUUUCUUCCUCUCUCCCUUCCAUUCUUCUUCCCUCCUUCUCUCUUUCUUCCCUCCUUGUUUUCUUCUUUCCUUCCAGCCUUGAUCCUUUCCCUCCCUCCUGUCCUUUUCUACACAGUACUCCUUUAUUAGAGUUAAUCAAGCACCUAGUUUGUGCCAUCCACUGUAUUGUGCACUGUAAAGAUACAGAUACACAAGACACCAGCUGUGGUGAUAUUAAACUUUCACUGUUCUGUUUCAGCUCCCAACCAGACUCUAGUAUCCAGGCAGGCACUGGUGUUUAUUAGAUGUGAGGCACUUUCACAGGCUGUUUUAGUGAACUCUAUCAACCAAACACAGGAAACUGGUAAACAUUUUGGUGCUGUCUGCGAAAGCAAGGUGGAUAGCUAGAAGCUGACCCUCCGCAGAUUUGUAGACACACAGACAAGAAUAGGAGCGUGUGUGUACUUGAAAACACGUCUCCUCUGGAGCCAGUUACAGAAAACAUGGGAGGCAAACACCCUCAGUGCUCAGAAAGGACAUACCAGGUUGGUUUCAAAUGUGUGAAGGGCUUUAUUCUUUUUAGUCCACUGGAAAGUGGUGUACAUAGUCUCAGCAAUCAAACGAGCAGCUGUCAUUAGUUUCUGCAGAUCCAAGCAAAAAUUUCCCUACAAAGGCUUUGAAACUUCUUCUCCAAACCUGGCAA